rnacentral:rRNA from 1 species
CCUACGGGAGGCAGCAGUGGGGAAUAUUGGGCAAUGGACGCAAGUCUGACCCAGCAACGCCGCGUGAAGGAAGAAGGCUUUCGGGUUGUAAACUUCUUUUAAGGGGGAAGAGCAGAAGACGGUACCCCUUGAAUAAGCCACGGCUAACUACGUGCCAGCAGCCGCGGUAAUACGUAGGUGGCAAGCGUUGUCCGGAUUUACUGGGUGUAAAGGGCGUGCAGCCGGAGAGACAAGUCAGAUGUGAAAUCCACGGGCUCAACCCGUGAACUGCAUUUGAAACUGUUUCCCUUGAGUGUCGGAGAGGUAAUCGGAAUGCCUAGUGUAGCGGUGAAAUGCGUAGAUAUUAGGAAGAACACCAGUGGCGAAGGCAGAUUACUGGACGAUAACUGACGGUGAGGCGCGAAAGCGUGGGGAGCAAACAGGAUUAGAUACCCGGGUAGUC